rnacentral:rRNA from 1 species
GUAGGUGGCAAGCGUUGUCCGGGAAUUAUUGGGGCCGUAAAGCGCGCGCAAGGCGGUUCUUUUAAGUCUGAUGUGAAAGCCCACGGGCUCAACCGUGGAGGGUCAUUGGAAACUGGAGAACUUGAGUACAGAAGAGGAAAGCGGAAUUCCACGUGUAGCGGUGAAAUGCGUAGAGAUGUGGAGGAACACCAGUGGCGAAGGCGGCUUUCUGGUCUGUAACUGACGCUGAGGCGCGAAAGCGUGGGGAGCAAACAGGAUUAGAUACCCUGGUAGUCCACGCCGUAAACGAUGAGUGCUAAGUGUUAGGGGGUUUCCGCCCCUUAGUGCUGCAGCUAACGCAUUAAGCACUCCGCCUGGGGAGUACGGCCGCAAAGGCUGA